UACGUAGGGUGCAAGCGUUGUCCGGAAUCAUUGGGCGUAAAGCGCGCGUAGGUGGCUUUGUAAGUCCGUUGUGAAAGUCAAAGGCUCAACCUUUGAAUGCCGAUGGAUACUGCGGAGCUAGAGUACGGAAGAGGCGAGUGGAAUUCCUGGUGUAGCGGUGGAAUGCGCAGAUAGUCAGGAGGAACACCAAUAGCGAAGGCAGCUCGCUGGGACGUUAAGCUGACACUAAGGGCGCGAAACGUGGGGAGCGAACAGGAGUUGAGGAAACCCGGUAGUCCAGAUCCAAGAUCCGUCUCGCACCGAUA
rnacentral:rRNA from 1 species